CCAGACUCCUACGGGAGGCAGCAGUGAGGAAUAUUGGUCAAUGGGCGGAAGCCUGAACCAGCCAAGUCGCGUGAGGGAAUAAGGCCCUACGGGUCGUAAACCUCUUUUGCCGGGGAGCAAGGGCGGGGACGUGUCCCGGCCCGGAGAGUACCCGGAGAAAAAGCAUCGGCUAACUCCGUGCCAGCAGCCGCGGUAAUACGGAGGAUGCGAGCGUUAUCCGGAUUUAUUGGGUUUAAAGGGUGCGCAGGCGGAGGUGCAAGUCAGCGGUCAAAUUGCGGGGCUCAACCCCGUACUGCCGUUGAAACUGCAUCCCUUGAGUGCGCGAGAAGUAUGCGGAAUGCGUGGUGUAGCGGUGAAAUGCUUAGAUAUCACGAAGAACUCCGAUUGCGAAGGCAGCAUACGGCAGCGCUACUGACGCUGAAGCUCGAAGGCGCGGGUAUCGAACAGGAUUAGAUACCCCGGUAU
rnacentral:rRNA from 1 species